ACAAAACAAAACCUCAUCUGAUCUCGGAAGCUAAGCAGGGUCGGGCCUGGUUAGUACUUGGAUGGGAAUCCACCUGGGAAUACCAGGUGCUGUA
rnacentral:rRNA from 1 species